GCGUGAGUGAAGAAGGCCUUCGGGUUGUAAAGCUCUUUCAGCCGGAAAGAAAUCGCGCAGGCUAAUACUCUGCGUGGAUGACGGUACCGGAAGAAGAAGCACCGGCUAACUACGUGCCAGCAGCCGCGGUAAUACGUAGGGUGCGAGCGUUAAUCGGAAUUACUGGGCGUAAAGCGUGCGCAGGCGGUUAUAUAAGACAGAUGUGAAAUCCCCGGGCUCAACCUGGGAACUGCGUUUGUGACUGUAUGACUAGAGUACGGCAGAGGGAGGUGGAAUUCCGCGUGUAGCAGUGAAAUGCGU
rnacentral:rRNA from 1 species